rnacentral:tRNA from 1 species
AGAAACUUAGGAUUAUUCAAAACCGGAGGCCUUCAAAGCCUUAAAAAAGAGUUAAACUCUCUUAGUUUCUG